rnacentral:rRNA from 1 species
GGGGGGGGGGGGGGGGGGGGGGAGGGGGGGGAGGGGGAGGGAGGAGGCGAGGAGCUUGCGCGUGGGACGUUAGCGGCGGAGGGGGGGGUAACACGUGGAUAACCUACCUAUAAGACUGGGAUAACUGCGGGAAACGGGAGCUGAUACCGGAUAAUAUAUUGAACCGCAUGGUUCAGUAGUGAAAGACGGUUUUGCUGUCACUUAUAGAUGGAUCCGCGCCGCAUUAGCUAGUUGGUAAGGUAACGGCUUACCACGGCAACGAUGCGUAGCCGACCUGAGAGGGUGAUCGGCCACACUGGAACUGAGACACGGUCCAGACUCCUACGGGAGGCAGCAGUAGGGAAUCUUCCGCAAUGGGCGAAAGCCUGACGGAGCAACGCCGCGUGAGUGAUGAAGGUCUUCGGAUCGUAAAACUCUGUUAUUAGGGAAGAACAAAUGUGUAAGUAACUAUGCACGUCUUGACGGUACCUAAUCAGAAAGCCACGGCUAACUACGUG